rnacentral:rRNA from 1 species
AUUGAACGCUGGCGGCAUGCCUUACACAUGCAAGUCGAACGGCAGCGGACCUUCGGGUGCCGGCGAGUGGCGAACGGGUGAGUAAUAUAUCGGAACGUACCUUUCAGUGGGGGAUAACGUAGCGAAAGUUACGCUAAUACCGCAUAUUCUGUGAGCAGGAAAGCAGGGGAUCGCAAGACCUUGCGCUGAUUGAGCGGCCGAUAUCAGAUUAGCUAGUUGGUGAGGUAAAGGCUCACCAGGGCGACGAUCUGUAGCGGGUCUGAGAGGAUGAUCCGCCACACUGGAACUGAGACACGGUCCAGACUCCUACGGGAGGCAGCAGUGGGGAAUUUUGGACAAUGGGCGCAAGCCUGAUCCAGCCAUGCCGCGUGAGUGAAGAAGGCC